rnacentral:rRNA from 1 species
UUAAGCGACUAAGCGUACACGGUGGAUGCCCUGGCAGUCAGAGGCGAUGAAGGACGUGCUAAUCUGCGAUAAGCGUCGGUAAGGUGAUAUGAACCGUUAUAACCGGCGAUUUCCGAAUGGGGAAACCCAGUGUGUUUCGACACACUAUCAUUAACUGAAUCCAUAGGUUAAUGAGGCGAACCGGGGGAACUGAAACAUCUAAGUACCCCGAGGAAAAGAAAUCAACCGAGAUUCCCCCAGUAGCGGCGAGCGAACGGGGAGCAGCCCAGAGCCUGAAUCAGUGUGUGUGUUAGUGGAAGCGUCUGGAAAGGCGCGCGAUACAGGGUGACAGCCCCGUACACAAAAAUGCACAUACUGUGAGCUCGAUGAGUAGGGCGGGACACGUGGUAUCCUGUCUGAAUAUGGGGGGACCAUCCUCCAAGGCUAAAUACUCCUGACUGACCGAUAGUGAACCAGUACCGUGAGGGAAAGGCGAAAAGAACCCCGGCGAGGGGAGUGAAAAAGAACCUGAAACCGUGUACGUACAAGCAGUGGGAGCCUCUUUAUGGGGUGACUGCGUACCUUUUGUAUAAUGGGUCAGCGACUUAUAUUCUGUAGCAAGGUUAACCGAAUAGGGGAGCCGAAGGGAAACCGAGUCUUAACUGGGCGUUAAGUUGCAGGGUAUAGACCCGAAACCCGGUGAUCUAGCCAUGGGCAGGUUGAAGGUUGGGUAACACUAACUGGAGGACCGAACCGACUAAUGUUGAAAAAUUAGCGGAUGACUUGUGGCUGGGGGUGAAAGGCCAAUCAAACCGGGAGAUAGCUGGUUCUCCCCGAAAGCUAUUUAGGUAGCGCCUCGUGAAUUCAUCUCCGGGGGUAGAGCACUGUUUCGGCAAGGGGGUCAUCCCGACUUACCAACCCGAUGCAAACUGCGAAUACCGGAGAAUGUUAUCACGGGAGACACACGGCGGGUGCUAACGUCCGUCGUGAAGAGGGAAACAACCCAGACCGCCAGCUAAGGUCCCAAAGUCAUGGUUAAGUGGGAAACGAUGUGGGAAGGCCCAGACAGCCAGGAUGUUGGCUUAGAAGCAGCCAUCAUUUAAAGAAAGCGUAAUAGCUCACUGGUCGAGUCGGCCUGCGCGGAAGAUGUAACGGGGCUAAACCAUGCACCGAAGCUGCGGCAGCGACACUAUGUGUUGUUGGGUAGGGGAGCGUUCUGUAAGCCUGUGAAGGUGUGCUGUGAGGUAUGCUGGAGGUAUCAGAAGUGCGAAUGCUGACAUAAGUAACGAUAAAGCGGGUGAAAAGCCCGCUCGCCGGAAGACCAAGGGUUCCUGUCCAACGUUAAUCGGGGCAGGGUGAGUCGACCCCUAAGGCGAGGCCGAAAGGCGUAGUCGAUGGGAAACAGGUUAAUAUUCCUGUACUUGGUGUUACUGCGAAGGGGGGACGGAGAAGGCUAUGUUGGCCGGGCGACGGUUGUCCCGGUUUAAGCGUGUAGGCUGGUUUUCCAGGCAAAUCCGGAAAAUCAAGGCUGAGGCGUGAUGACGAGGCACUACGGUGCUGAAGUAACAAAUGCCCUGCUUCCAGGAAAAGCCUCUAAGCAUCAGGUAACAUCAAAUCGUACCCCAAACCGACACAGGUGGUCAGGUAGAGAAUACCAAGGCGCUUGAGAGAACUCGGGUGAAGGAACUAGGCAAAAUGGUGCCGUAACUUCGGGAGAAGGCACGCUGAUAUGUAGGUGAAGUCCCUUGCGGAUGGAGCUGAAAUCAGUCGAAGAUACCAGCUGGCUGCAACUGUUUAUUAAAAACACAGCACUGUGCAAACACGAAAGUGGACGUAUACGGUGUGACGCCUGCCCGGUGCCGGAAGGUUAAUUGAUGGGGUUAGCGGUAACGCGAAGCUCUUGAUCGAAGCCCCGGUAAACGGCGGCCGUAACUAUAACGGUCCUAAGGUAGCGAAAUUCCUUGUCGGGUAAGUUCCGACCUGCACGAAUGGCGUAAUGAUGGCCAGGCUGUCUCCACCCGAGACUCAGUGAAAUUGAACUCGCUGUGAAGAUGCAGUGUACCCGCGGCAAGACGGAAAGACCCCGUGAACCUUUACUAUAGCUUGACACUGAACAUUGAGCCUUGAUGUGUAGGAUAGGUGGGAGGCUUUGAAGUGUGGACGCCAGUCUGCAUGGAGCCGACCUUGAAAUACCACCCUUUAAUGUUUGAUGUUCUAACGUUGGCCCCUGAUCGGGGUUGCGGACAGUGUCUGGUGGGUAGUUUGACUGGGGCGGUCUCCUCCUAAAGAGUAACGGAGGAGCACGAAGGUUGGCUAAUCCUGGUCGGACAUCAGGAGGUUAGUGCAAUGGCAUAAGCCAGCUUGACUGCGAGCGUGACGGCGCGAGCAGGUGCGAAAGCAGGUCAUAGUGAUCCGGUGGUUCUGAAUGGAAGGGCCAUCGCUCAACGGAUAAAAGGUACUCCGGGGAUAACAGGCUGAUACCGCCCAAGAGUUCAUAUCGACGGCGGUGUUUGGCACCUCGAUGUCGGCUCAUCACAUCCUGGGGCUGAAGUAGGUCCCAAGGGUAUGGCUGUUCGCCAUUUAAAGUGGUACGCGAGCUGGGUUUAGAACGUCGUGAGACAGUUCGGUCCCUAUCUGCCGUGGGCGCUGGAGAACUGAGGGGGGCUGCUCCUAGUACGAGAGGACCGGAGUGGACGCAUCACUGGUGUUCGGGUUGUCAUGCCAAUGGCACUGCCCGGUAGCUAAAUGCGGAAGAGAUAAGUGCUGAAAGCAUCUAAGCACGAAACUUGCCCCGAGAUGAGUUCUCCCUGACCCUUUAAGGGUCCUGAAGGAACGUUGAAGACGACGACGUUGAUAGGCCGGGUGUGUAAGCGCAGCGAUGCGUUGAGCUAACCGGUACUAAUGAACCGUGAGGCUUAACCU